rnacentral:tRNA from 1 species
GGCCUAUUAGCUCAGCUGGUUAGAGCGUCGUGCUAAUAGUGCAAAGGUUGCAGGUUCGGGACCUACAUGGGCCA